GUGAGGAAUAUUGCGCAAUGGAGGCAACUCUGACGCAGCCAUGCCGCGUGCAGGAAGAAGGCGCUACGCGUUGUAAACUGCUUUUAACCGGGAAGAAACCCCAGGACGUGUCCUGGGUUGACGGUACCGGAGGAAUAAGCACCGGCUAACUUCGUGCCAGCAGCCGCGGUAAUACGAAGGGUGCAAGCGUUAUCCGGAUUCAUUGGGUUUAAAGGGUGCGUAGGCGGGGCGUUAAGUCAGUGGUGAAAUCCUGCAGCUCAACUGUAGACUUGCCAUUGAUACUGGCGCUCUUGAGUGCGCUUGAAGUAGGCGGAAUGUGCCGUGUAGCGGUGAAAUGCUUAGAUAUGGCACAGAACACCAAUUGCGAAGGCAGCUUACUAAGGCGAUACUGACGCUGAGGCACGAAAGCGUGGGGAUCAAACAGGAUUAGAAACCCGUGUAGUCC
rnacentral:rRNA from 1 species